AACGAACGUUAGCGGCGCGCUUAACACAUGCAAGUCGAGCGAGAAAGGGGCAACCCCGGUAAAGCGGCGCACGGGUGAGUAACACGUAGGUAAUUUACCCCCAGGUGGUGGAUAACCCUCCGAAAGGAGAGCUAAUACAGCAUGAGACCACGGGUUCGAAAGAGCUUGAGGUCAAAGCCGGCCUCUUCAUGAAAGCUGGCGCCAGGGGAUGAGCCUGCGGCCCAUCAGCUAGUUGGUAGGGUAAUGGCCUACCAAGGCGAAGACGGGUAG
rnacentral:rRNA from 1 species